AAGUCGUAACAAGGUUUCCGUAGGUGAACCUGCGGAAGGAUCAUUAACACGUAUCCAAACGUUAAACAACCCCGUGAACAUACAACCUGCUCUGGUCGCCCGCUCGCAUGGACAAGCCCAGUAAAUCAAGCCCCGGAAAGUUUUUGAUUUGGGACCUCUGUGCGCGUGAGAAAAACUGACAGCGAUUCAUAGAAGCGGUAGGUCAAGUGACACGGCGUCCCCAAGUGACCAGCGAAUGAAAGUGUCGCUGGAGCGUCAAGGACGACUCUUCAAGAUUGCUAGAGGUCGACCGGCUUCCGUGUAUACUGAGCUAACACCGCCCACUUUAUUGCCUUGCCUGUAAGCAUCCAUACGGAUGGGCAGGCCCCCCGAACAACUGUUAACAAUGGAUAUCUUGGUUCUC
rnacentral:misc_RNA from 1 species